rnacentral:rRNA from 1 species
UCUUAUGUACAUACUUACAGGCAUAGCGUUAAUGCACCGGAUCCCAUUAGAAUUCCGCAGUUAAGUGUGCCCGGACUAGAGUAGUACUGGGAUGGGUGACUGCCUGGGCACUUUAUAAACUUAAACU